GGCACGCACAACGGCCGUCAGGGUUUCCACACGGGGACGGACGCGCAUCGUGAACAUCGCUUUUCAAAUUUGACGGGCAAUAAGUAUGGAUUCUCGGCAGCACCGCAUUUCCUGGAAGAAGGAAGCUCACGUUUUUCUACUUAAAGGAUUUAUUUUCAGACGUAAUUCACCAAACUGAAUCUUAUUACAGUUAGAAUAUUCAACAACGCUCCUUUUUAAAACACGAAGAAACACGAUAAAGCGUUUGCACUGCUAAUUACGGAAUAUCAUUUAAAGAAAUCACAAGACAACUCUCUCAAGCGACACAGAAAUUGUAUUUUGGAGGUUUGGACCUCUACCCGAGGGACCAGAUUUGGCCCGACAUUUGGAGGGAAAUGACAACCCCUCGCACACCGGCGUCGUAUCUCGCAUGGCCCAGCAUCCAACACCAUUAACACAUGGUGUCUAUGUCCCAAAGUACCUGCUGAACAACGUGCUGGCACAAAGGGAAACUGGCUGAACGGCAGAAGUGUGUUUUGAGCACUUGCCGUCUGUUUUAGAAAGGCUGGAUAGAAGUGCCAGCCCGGCCACAUUCCACCGCUGACAAACACAACACACACAAAGAAGAGCGCAGCCACAAUAAUGGGCUUUUGUACAGGGGCGAGUAACGCAGUGUUUUACCAGUACCAGGGUCAAUAAUAAUAGUAGUUUAAAAACCAGGUCCUAAAGUGUUAUAUGGUAUCAACAAACAUGAUCGAUGUGAUAAACCUUCCACAUACAAUUGCUCCGUUAAACCAACUUUCUUUUGCCGUCUGAUUUUCCCCGUAAUCACUAUUUUAUUCAUCUGAGAGCUGCCCUCUGGAAAAAGGAAUAAUAGAGGCAUCGCCUCAAUUUUAAAAUUAGUCAAUUAUUUUGAAAUUAGAAACACAAAACAAUCAACAACACAGAGGCUGUAUUAGUCAAGAGGCUCAAUCAUCCAACCAAUUGUAAACAAACGGAAAGAUGAGGAGAAUCAAUUGUUUAGGGAGUUUUGUUUCCAUUUCCGUGUACAUUGUUAUACUGAUGUGAACAUCAUCUAAAAACACUGCUUAAUUCUAUUCAACAUGAAAAUGAAAAUGUUCUCUGUAUACCACUUUGGUGUGCAGAUGGCCCUGUCUGUGGCUUAAAAUAAAUAAACUCUUAGGAUUGUG